AACAGGACUACACUGGAAAACAGGCCAAGCUCCAACAUCUAGAAACAAAGGUGCUGAUGGCAGCAGCACAGCUGAUAUUUCUCUCCAGGAUGGAGUCACAGCCAAACAGGAACAGAUGAUUUUCCCCAGUGGGAGUUGUUAGCAUUAGAUCAUGAGUGGGUAACAGUAGUGAAGCUGCAGAGAGGUGAGGUAAACUGUGACUCUGCAUCCUGGUCUGUCUGGGUUUUAGGACUGAUAAAUUGAUUCCCAGUGGGACGGAUGAUGGAGGAUGACUCAGCAGCUUUCUGGACGCCUCUCUGUUUGCAGGCGGCGUCUACGGGCUGUCCUUCAGAACCCGGAUCGAUGAGGAAAACUGUGUCGCUCUGACACCAAACGGUAAGACUUCAGAUGACAUCAUUUCCUGUUUACUACGUAGAGAUCUUCCUCUCCAUCGGUACCAUCUAUUAAAGCAAACAAACAAUAAACAUUUUCAUUUGAACUAAAAUCUAUCAGAUUAACUGAAUUCUAUGUGUCGUAGCGUCCAGAAGAGGGCGCUGCUGAUGGUCCUUCAGUAAAAGCAAACCAUCAGUCAUAGCAGACAUAGCAUAUAUCUCGCAUUUUCCUCCGUAUCUGUAGAGGUUUUAUCGCUGUAACAUUUUCAGCGGACAUUGCUAACAUCCAAACAAAUCAGACCAUAUAUGUCCAGAAUCUAUAUAAUCAUAUUAGUUCCUCUAAUCUCAGCAUAUAUCACUGCAAACUCAGUUCAGUUUGAUUAGAUUUUAAUCUGAACAAACCUGUAAUCUAACUGAAAAGUGAUUAUAAAAUGUUGUGAAAUGGCCGGUUUAUUAUAUUAUCUCUGACUCGUCUUCCAUGUCAUUAUAAUGAGAUCUAAGGCCACCUCGGUUCAGGUCUGAUCCAAGAUGGCCGCCCUGUAGCGUCUAAAGUCUGUGAUUGCUGACUGAUGGCUGGCCCUGAAAAUGGAGCUAAAAGCAGUUAGCAUCCACUGAUGGACAGGAAGUGGCUGUUACAUCUGUCAGAGCGUCAUACCCCGCCUGUGAUGAUGAUGAUGAUGGCUAAUGCUAAUGUGUCUCUGCAGGACGCCUGGUCCUCUCUCUGGACAGAGGAUGAUGGCUAAUGCUAAUGUGUCUCUGCAGGACGCCUGGUCCUCUCUCUGGACAGAGGAUGAUGGCUAAUGCUAAUGUGUCUCUGCAGGACGCCUGGUCCUCUCUCUGGACAGAGGAUGAUG